UACGUAGGUGGCAAGCGUUGUCCGGAUUUAUUGGGUUUAAAGGGUGCGUAGGCGGUUUAAUAAGUCAGUGGUGAAAUACGGCAGCUCAACUGUCGAGGUGCCAUUGAUACUGUUGGACUUGAGUACAGACGAGGUAGGCGGAAUUGACGGUGUAGCGGUGAAAUGCUUAGAUAUCGUCAAGAACACCGAUAGCCAAGGCAGCUUACUAGGCUGUAACUGACGCUGAGGCACGAAAGUGUGGGGAUCAAACAGG
rnacentral:rRNA from 1 species